UUUUUUUCCAACCGAGGCACCCGGGGAGGCCACACUCCCUGGCUGCGGAGCAGGGCACACUCCUGGCAGCUGGUCCUGUCCGGCCUGGCCGAAGGGUGACCGCACCAACUAUCUCCUGCUGGAUCUGUCCGACGGCCUGCUGCAAGGCCCCGCUUGAAAUAGUUCUCCUUUCGGGUUACUCAACAGAGAGGACCCACAAGCCGACCGCUACACAUAUUCUCCAGAAACCCCCAACACCUAGGAAAGCUGCUGCUGCUCCUUUUUUGGUAGCUGGUAGGGACGUGGCCAUUGCGUUCUUGACCACAACCACAGGGAUGUGACGACAACGUCCGUCUUUCCACCUCAGUUCCAAGAACUGGAUCUCCUUUGCAGGUCCCUUGAUCUUGCCUUCUUUUACAGCAAAACCAGCCUUCAACAGGAUCUGGAUUCUUCUCUUCCCUUCUCAAACAUUUCCUCCGCCGCGUUGCCCGACACAAGGAUGACAUCAGCGUAUGGCAGGCGCUCAGGAGCUUCACCCCAUUCCAGUGCUGCCUGUAUCAGCCCACGGCAAAGGCAGGGCUGUGUUUCCACGCUGGGGUUGUCAGCUCCAGCUGCACGGACACCCCUCUGCAUGAAAGCAGCCUGCGCCCCGCACUCUGCUGCCCGGGGACAGCACAGGUCUGGGCAGCAGGGCAGCCAGCACAGCAGCGUCACCUCCUUCCGACGGUGACAGCCCACCUUCAGCCUCGCCCUUCCGUCAGACUUCAGCAAUGCCGUACGGGACCACUCCAGGGGGAAUCACCCCCAAAAUCCAGACAGGUUCCGCCCCUAUGCCCUGAGGGCAUUGGGGUACACCGCACACUGGCGUCCACCUGGGCUCCCAUGGGUCCCAUGUGCUCGGCCAUCGAAUCCACACCAUCCAGUCGAGUCCGUUGUCCCUUUCCUCUGCGUGGCCAGAGCCAAAGCCACCCUAUUCCUGGUCGGAGCACUCGUUACUCGCAGCAGACCAGACGUCCCUUCAUCAAGAUCAGGAGGAGGAGAGGCAUCCUCAGCCCUUCUGCGUCUGGGGAGUUGCUCGAGGGCAGCCGCAGCAGCAGUCCUCCUGGACGGACCCCCGUGAGCUGCUCUUUGCCCCCACAACUCACCCAGGCAGCGUGCCGGCCCAAGGCAGCACACCACCCCACUUCCCCACGCGCUCCCCACAGCGGCACAGACAGAAUCAUGGGAGAGGCCAACUCUGUGUGGCACCCUUCGCAGCCUGUAGGAGCGAGGAGGAAGAGAAUUCUCUUCAAACUGUUGGAGCUGGUGGGACAGUGUCUCCACAGCCAGUGCCUUGAUCACCCGGGCACUGCUGCACGGCACCAGUGCCUUUGGCACUAACCUCUGCCACGUGGCCCCUGUGGCACUGGACGUCAUCCCGAUCCCUGGAGACCUGGUUGCUGUCCAGGCUGAUGCAGAUCACCUCCACCACUUCCCUCGGACAACAGCCAGGGUGGCCCGCUUGCCACCAGAUCAUCCUCGAGGUGACACUUCAUCCUCAACAGAGGAUGCCUGCACCGAGUCUCUGGUUUAGCCACGCUGUCCAUUUGUGUUAUCCUUAGAUCCAGGGACUCUCCUGCUCCUUUGAGGGUCCUGAACACAGGCCUGGUCCUGGUCCUAAGUGUAGGUCAGGUCCCAACACAGCACUAGAAGCUGCUCGCUGUUUUUGGCAGGGACAAGGCAUCCCUCCUGCAGGCAGUCUGCCAUUUCAGCAGGGUUACCUGCCUGCCAAGGCAAAAACUCCCAGGCCAUCGGAGGUGAAACCGCUCUAGGAACCUGCCCAUGCGCUCCCACACACCGUGCCACCCAGGAGCCGGCUGCCGCAGGACACGUUCCCUCUGCCACCCCCAGCUGGGUGGUUACCGGAGGAUCCACCAAGACCUGAACUGGGAUCGAGUGGAUUCAGGGUCUGAUGAGGUGGCAGCGUGUGCAGGGCACUGGUGGCAGGGGAACACUGUUAGUACCAUUACAAACAGCAGUCAAAAUCCGCAUUGCUGUGACAGCAAUGCAGAGGCCAGACACCAGUCGAGGCUCAAAGCACCACUUUUAUCCCAGGUUUCCCAGGUGCAGGCCAUUUCCAUGCCACGGAAUGUCCCUUUGGACACCCCAUGCCACAGCCGUGUACCCUUCCAACCUCUUGCCUACACCCAGGGGAGCAGGGGGGAAAAGCCUUGACCCUGUGCAAGCACUGUUCGACAACAGCCAAAACACCAGCAUGUGACCGACGCCAGUUUAGCCACAAAGCCAAAAUACAGCUCACAGGCUGCUGCGAAGGCAGUCAACCCCGUCCCAGGCAGAGCCAGUACCGCCCAGUAACAUAAUUCACUGAAAUAUUCCAAAAAGACUCCGCUCCAGCGUUCACCAGGUUCAAUGCGCCGAGUUUAUACACAGACACACCAAAAAAACCCCACCCCAAACAAUCAGCACAAGUCUUUCAGCAAGUAACUCCUAAAAACCAAGACAAAAAAGGGGAUUUCGGCACCUUCCCUGGAAUAUCAGCAGCAGAAAUCUACCGGCCUUUUCCAGUGUUCUCUUUCCAUGUCAAAUUUUAGAGCAGUACAGACCCCACACGCCAUUUCCUAAGUACAUUUAUAUACGUGUGACAGGUCUGAGGCAUUCGGAGCUCUGCACGCCUGAUGCGGCGCUGUGCCCGAGAGCAUUGCGGACAAAGAGCAAAUACUAACACUUCUGCCUGCAACUUACUAAAAAAGAACCCCCAAACUCCAUUCAGAACAUUUAACUUGAUGGCAAAGAAGGAAGAAAACAUGUUAUUUACCUUCAAAUGUGAAACUGAAAAAAAAAAACCUAUAAAAAAUGCUUCAAUGUUCUUCCCGUUCCUCACACAGAGGAGCUCCUUGUUCGGUACAGACUAACACGAGUGCGGGUCAGCGUCCACUGGGCUCAGCCCCCAAAACCAAACUGCAAGACACUGGGGAAGCAGAAGAAGGGAGGAAAAGGAGUCCAGCAGCACAGCAGGGAGCAGCAAGUUUUGCAGCCGCUUGGAACCCCACCCCUGGAUAACCAUCCCUCGGUUCCAGCAGUUGUCACAGGAGCUGGAGGAGAAGGGAUCAGCCCAGUCCCUUACGUCCCCCACCCUUCCAGCCAGUUGGAUUGCUCUGCCAGAUUUUUUUGUAUCAGAAAAAAAUGCUAUUUUUUUUUUCUUCUUGUCCUUGAAGAGUGCCUUCUCAAUAGGGAAAAUAAUUACCUCCCUUUUCUAUCCACCCUCCUGACGACCUCCCCACACAGUUAUAAUUUAACAUUUUAAAUGUCUAGCGAAUUAUCAGAUACCAGAGAGAAGAGCAUAACCCAAAACCGAACACAUAUUUCAACAGCAAUCCUGGGCUGUAAACCAGGACUUGUUUUCUUUAAAAAAAAAAAAAA